AAAGAUAUAGCAUAUUCUUCUGAAUAUAUACUUUAUUAACCCAUUCCGAGUACCUUACCCGUUGCUUCCGCGAGGCUGUCCUCACGGCCCUCUGAAGAUUUAUCUUUGGGGAGUCCUUGCGGAAGGUAUACAAUAAACUCUUGCAUUACCAUGUCAUCUGUCUGAAUCUGUUUAAAACAAAUAUUA
rnacentral:misc_RNA from 1 species